rnacentral:rRNA from 1 species
ACUGAGUAGUAAAAGUUAUAGUCUUGAAACUCAAAAAAUUUGGCGGUAUUUUAGUCUAUUCAGAGGAACCUGUAUAAUAAUCGAUAGUCCACGAUGGAUCUUUCUUAAUUUUGUAAAAUAAGUCAGUUUGUAUACCGCCGUUAUUAGAAAAUGUUAUAAGAUAAAUAAUUUUCAAUAUUUUUUAUAAAAAUAUAAAUCAGGUCAAGGUGCAGCUUAUAGUUAAGUUUAUUAUGGGUUACAAUAAAUCUAUUUAAACGGAUGUUAAUAUUGAAAUUUUAUUGCUGAAGGAGGAUUUGAAAGUAAAUUAUUAAAGAUUAUAAAAUUGAUUUUAGCUCUAAAAUAAGCACACAUCGCCCGUCGCUCUUGUUAUUAAUAUAAGAUAAGUCGUAACAUAGUAGAUGUAUCGGAAGAUGUAUCUAGAAUGACAAUUUAAAGCUUGUUAGUUAAGUAUUUCAUUUACACUGAAAAAGUUAUUGUGCAAAUCAAUAUAAAUUGAUGAGAUUUAAUUAUUAAUUAUUUAUUUAUUAAUUUUAUAAAAAUAAUUUUAUUAAAGUGUUGUUUUAGUAUUGUAUAAAGAAAAGAUAAUUUAAUUAAUAUAGAAUUAAAGUACUGUGAAGGAAUUU